rnacentral:rRNA from 1 species
AGUGAACGCUGGCGGUAGGCCUAACACAUGCAAGUCGAACGGCAGCACAGUAAGAGCUUGCUCUUACGGGUGGCGAGUGGCGGACGGGUGAGGAAUACAUCGGAAUCUACUUUUUCGUGGGGGAUAACGUAGGGAAACUUACGCUAAUACCGCAUACGACCUACGGGUGAAAGCAGGGGAUCUUCGGACCUUGCGCGAUUGAAUGAGCCGAUGUCGGAUUAGCUAGUUGGCGGGGUAAAGGCCCAUCAAGGCGACGAUCCGUAGCUGGUCUGAGAGGAUGAUCAGCCACACUGGAACUGAGACACGGUCCAGACUCCUACGGGAGGCAGCAGUGGGGAAUAUUGGACAAAGGGCGCAAGCCUGAUCCAGCCAUACCGCGUGGGUGAAGAAGGCCUUCGGGUUGUAAAGCCCUUUUGUUGGGAAAGAAAAGCAGCAGGUUAAUACCCCGCUGUUCUGACGGUACCCAAAGAAUAAGCACCGGCUAACUUCGUG